rnacentral:rRNA from 1 species
AAUCAACGCUGGCGGCGUGCCUCAGACAUGCAAGUCGAACGAUUAAGCUCUCUUCGGAGAGUGUAUAGAGUGGCGCACGGGUGAGUAACACGUAAGUAAUCUACCUUCGAGUGGGGAAUAACGUCCGGAAACGGACGCUAAUACCGACAUAAUGCAGCGGCAUCGCAAGAUGACAGUUGUUAAAGAUUUAUCGCUUGAAGAGGAGCUUGCGGCAGAUUAGCUAGUUGGUAAGGUAAUGGCUUACCAAGGCCUAC